UUUGGUUUCAAGAGCUGCGAUGGGAAGGGGGAGCCAGGCCCGGAGCCCACAGGAAAGUGGGGAGUCGGCACCGAGACCACUCGGCACUGCACCCCACGUGGAGCAGAUCAACACAGCCUCUGGGAUUUGGAAUGAAGCUGUAGACUGGGUGAGCAUGCCCUUUGCAGGCCCCGUGAGGAAGACGUAUCAGAAGUGAUCUGCAGCUACCUAAGAUAAGACAGCAGUUUGCAUUUGCAGGGACCUUCAUCACGGACACUCCGUAGAGCAGCAGACUGACACAGGACAUUGAAGAUUUUGUGCUCAUCACACCUGAUGAGCAGGAAGUGGGACGUCUCCCGGGUCCCUUGUAAGACCUCCCUGCGGUACAGAGGGUGGCAGACGAGCCCUUCGAAGGCUGACAUCUGACGCCUCAGUGAGGUUCUUGGAGCCUCAAAGGGGCGGGUCCUUCCGAGACAGAUGAGUCACUUUAUCCGGCGUCUUCGGCCACCAGGAAAAGGCACAGUGCUUGAUCUGCCUCUUUGGACUUUGGAGAUGACCCAUGAAGGACACCAGGAAGCACUGCUCCAAACCGUUUGUCAGGAUACUGGGACAGUGCCACUUCUGUUGGGCCUCGGUGAGGACUCCUCUCCAGGGGGUUCAGGUGCCAGACCCAGUAACUCUGCCCCUGGGCUGUGCCAUCUGCAUCCAGUGAUGUGGGUCCACCAUGGUACAGAAGGCCACCGUGGGGAGUCUUUGGAAAUCCCGGGCAGGAGAUGGACAGCGUGGGCUCCGCAGCCGGGCUCCCACCUGCAGCAGAGAGUCAUCAGCCAUUUGAAAAGCGGCUCAUGGAGAGCCACUGGGCGCUGAGACAGGCUGAGCGUGACCUUGGGGUGGACAGGAGGCCAUGCGACGGGGGAGGUUUGGCAUCACAGGAACCUCCCACUGAUGAGAAUGGAACGUGCCUGACAGGUGACCCAGACCCCACAGCUCUCUGGCUCGCGGCCACCCCUCAGCCACUGUCAGCCAGACAACAGCAGGUGGGGAACCCCGGGCGCCACUCAGGCAGGGUUGGCUGGAUGAGUCGGGGCAAAUAAAAAGGGGCAGCUGCCGCCCUCCAGCCGCUGGACAGCACUGAGGCCUGGGUCCAGUCAGCCAGCUCCAGCCUCGAAGCUGGCCAUCCGCUCAGGGGGGACAUGCACAGACCCUGGCAGGGGUAGAUGGUCAGGCUGGAUGGUGAGGGACCCGGAAAGAAGCAGGAGCAGAAAAGUGGCCUGGAAAAGUCGGGGGGUGACGUAUGGGGGAGCAUGAGAAGGGAGGAGGCGACUUGGACAAGGUGUGAGUGUCCCUCAGACUCGAGUGUGGGGAGCUGGGACCUCCGUGUGGAGGGGGUGGAACCCUUGGGAGGCAGGGCCCCGAGGGAGGAGGGUGGGUGCUGAGGGGAGCGGCUUUUUGGCGGGAUUAAUGCUGCUCCUGCAGAGUGGGUUAGCACUCAUGAGAGCAGGUGGUUACAAAGCAGACCACCCCUUGCACUUGGCCAUUCACACAUCUUUCCGCUCCUCCACCACGCUGUGACCCAGCCAAGGCGCCCUCACCAGAGCCCGAGCCGGUGGGACAGUCCAGUCACGCAUUUUCAGCCUCCCAAACCGUGAGCUAACCAACCUCUCUCCUUUAUAAAGUACUCAGUCUCUGAUAGUUUGUUAUAGCAACAGAAAAUGAACUAAUAGAGCAGCAACUAGUGUGCUUCUCUUGACAUGCGCCUCAGCUAGCACCGCGGCCUGAGGUGGGACAGUGGACAGGGCCAGAGGGCCCGCCAUCAACUCCACAUACAGCGGAAUGUUGGGAUGAACUCUUAAAGUGACACCUGAGGUGCCACUUUGGGGAAGACGCCCCGAGGUAUUGGGACUCAGAGUUUCAAGAGAUGGUCUAUGCUUUGGACCAAAGGCCAGGAUAGGUGUGGUGUUCCAGGAACCAAAGAUGAAGGCCGGGGUGGACCCUGUUAUAAUAAUUCCCAGCGACUCAUCAACCUGUGCUUCUAACCAACUUUACAGUCUUCUUGGAUUAGAGGCCUCGCUUCCUGUUGGGGAAGGGGAGUCCCCUGGGGCACCGCUGAGCAUCCAGUGAACAGCUCCACUGGUUUUCUGGGGUUCUUAUGCUGGAAGAAGCAAAUAAGGAAGUCUCUGUACUAACAGGGACAAUGGACCCGGAUCACCCUGAGGAGGGUCACCGCGGUAUAGCAGGGGCAGAGAGGAACUUGGAAACCAAAGGACUCGGGUGGCGCCCAUAGGCGCUGGGUGUGGGAAUGGCUGAACGGGCAUUUGCAUCAACCAUGGGCUCACGAGGGCUCAGAGCCUCAGGAUGGACAGCCUGUCGGUCCACCAGGAAGGUCACCACCCUCAGCAGAAAUGCUGGCCAAGGUGAGGGGGAUCUAGAAGGGCCGGUAGACGACAGAGAGGUGGGUGUCAGCUAUGGCCCUGGGGCUCUCCAAGGCAGCAGAGAGUGCGCUUGUCCCCCUCACCAUGUUGCAGGUUAUUUUUUAGGACUUGUGACAGGCCACUGCCUUGAAGCAGGAGGGUUGGGCCGAAGUGGGCCUGGGUGGUGCCUGAACUCACUGCCCCCAGGGCCUCCUUGACCUGGCCCUCCCUGGGCCUGCUGGUGGCCUCUGCUCACAGGGAGGGGGCUGGAAGGGCUGGACAUGAACACCCCGGGAACAUGGUCCAGCCAAUGAGAAAGGGAGUCGGCCAGAAGAUGCCUCCCGCUUCCUUACCCUGGACGGGAGCAGCCUUAGAUCACGGGUUCCGCUGCUCAGGAUGCAACCACGGACUGUUCCUCUUCUGUCCUGUCUCAACUUCUCCAUUCCCCUGGUAUUGCUUCCAGAAACGAUCCAGAUGAUCAGCCCUCACCAACGAACUUGCACUGGGGUCAGCUUCUAGGACACACUGAUCCAAAACAAAACCCAACGACUUCAGCUGCUGGAAUUGAUGAAUACAGCACUUUAAACCGACCGUAUUUACACUGCUUAUAGAACCACAAGAGGGGCGGGGUGUAGCUCAGGGAUAGAGUGCUCCCUUAGCACAUGUGUGGACUGGGUUCGAGCCUCAGAACCACAUAAGAAUAGAAUAAAGGUAUUGUUCCAUCUACACCUUAAAUACAUGUCUGAACUAAAAGAGGGAAUUGAAAAUGUGAGCAAGAGAUGAGACUUCAAAGAUAAGAAGGCAGUUUUUAAAAUCGGAUAGAAUUCCCAGAAAUGAAAGUGUUACAUAUUAUUAAAGUUAAAGGUUCGAUGAACAUACUAGACAGAGUCGAGAAGAGAAUUGGUGAAAUGGAAGACUGACACCGUAUUAUUAAAGGCCGAGCUGCUGUGACAGAAGAUUAAUUGCAGAAUGUAUUCCCUUCUCAAGUCCUAAGGCCAGGCAACUCUUCCUCUAAGUUACUAAAAUUUAGUAAUUUCUACCUCUUCCCUUUGUUCCCUCAACCCUGAGGGUCACAGCUGCUGAUCCUCUAAUAUCAUAAAUUUUUCAUUUUGCAAUUAGAGUUACCUAGUUAACAACUGUCUACACAUAUAUUGAUUGAUAGAUUGUGGUAAUGGGGAUUGAACCCAGGGCCUCACACAUGCUAGGCAAGUGCUAUCCCACUGAGCUACUCUCUCAGACCCUCAUUAUUGAUAUUAAAGUCAGUUCAAACAA